GACGAACGCUGGCGGCGUGCCUAAUACAUGCAAGUCGAACGAACUCUGGUAUUGAUUGGUGCUUGCAUCAUGAUUUACAUUUGAGUGAGUGGCGAACUGGUGAGUAACACGUGGGAAACCUGCCCAGAAGCGGGGGAUAACACCUGGAAACAGAUGCUAAUACCGCAUAACAACUUGGACCGCAUGGUCCGAGUUUGAAAGAUGGCUUCGGCUAUCACUUUUGGAUGGUCCCGCGGCGUAUUAGCUAGAUGGUGGGGUAACGGCUCACCAUGGCAAUGAUACGUAGCCGACCUGAGAGGGUAAUCGGCCACAUUGGGACUGAGACACGGCCCAAACUCCUACGGGAGGCAGCAGUGGGGAAUCUUCCACAAUGGACGAAAGUCUGAUGGAGCAACGCCGCGUGAGUGAAGAAGGGUUUCGGCUCGUAAAACUCUGUUGUUAAAGAAGAACAUAUCUGAGAGUAACUGUUCAGGUAUUGACGGUAUUUACCAGAAAGCCACGGCUAACUACGUGCCAGCAGCCGCGGUAAUACGUAGGUGGCAAGCGUUGUCCGGAUUUAUUGGGCGUAAAGCGAGCGCAGGCGGUUUUUUAAGUCUGAUGUGAAAGCCUUCGGCUCAACCGAAGAAGUGCAUCGGAAACUGGGAAACUUGAGUGCAGAAGAGGACAGUGGAACUCCAUGUGUAGCGGUGAAAUGCGUAGAUAUAUGGAAGAACACCAGUGGCGAAGGCGGCUGUCUGGUCUGUAACUGACGCUGAGGCUCGAAAGUAUGGGUAGCAAACAGGAUUAGAUACCCUGGUAGUCCAUACCGUAAACGAUGAAUGCUAAGUGUUGGAGGGUUUCCGCCCUUCAGUGCUGCAGCUAACGCAUUAAGCAUUCCGCCUGGGGAGUACGGCCGCAAGGCUGAAACUCAAAGGAAUUGACGGGGGCCCGCACAAGCGGUGGAGCAUGUGGUUUAAUUCGAAGCUACGCGAAGAACCUUACCAGGUCUUGACAUACUAUGCAAAUCUAAGAGAUCAGACGUUCCCUUCGGGGACAUGGAUACAGGUGGUGCAUGGUUGUCGUCAGCUCGUGUCGUGAGAUGUUGGGUUAAGUCCCGCAACGAGCGCAACCCUUAUUAUCAGUUGCCAGCAUUAAGUUGGGCACUCUGGUGAGACUGCCGGUGACAAACCGGAGGAAGGUGGGGAUGACGUCAAAUCAUCAUGCCCCUUAUGGCCUGGGCUACACACGUGCUACAAUGGAUGGUACAACGAGUUGCGAACUCGCGAGAGUAAGCUAAUCUCUUAAAGCCAUUCUCAGUUCGGAUUGUAGGCUGCAACUCGCCUACAUGAAGUCGGAAUCGCUGGUAAUCGCGGAUCAGCAUGCCGCGGUGAAUACGUUCCCGGGCCUUGUACACACCGCCCGUCACACCAUGAGAGUUUGUAACACCCAAAGUCGGUGGGGUAACCUUUUAGGAACCAGCCGCCUAAGGUGGGACAGAUGAUUAGGGUG
rnacentral:rRNA from 2 species